GAUGAACGCUGGCGGCGUGCUUAACACAUGCAAGUCGAACGGUGAAGGCGGAGCUUGCUCUGCUGGAUCAGUGGCGAACGGGUGAGUAACACGUGAGCAAUCUGCCCCUGACUCUGGGAUAAGCGCUGGAAACGGCGUCUAAUACUGGAUACGAGCUGCGAAGGCAUCUUCAGCAGCUGGAAAGAAUUUCGGUCAGGGAUGAGCUCGCGGCCUAUCAGCUUGUUGGUGGGGUAAUGGCUCACCAAGGCGUCGACGGGUAGCCGGCCUGAGAGGGUGACCGGCCACACUGGGACUGAGACACGGCCCAGACUCCUACGGGAGGCAGCAGUGGGGAAUAUUGCACAAUGGGCGGAAGCCUGAUGCAGCAACGCCGCGUGAGGGACGACGGCCCUCGGGUUGUAAACCUCUUUUAGCAGGGAAGAAGCGAAAGUGACGGUACCGGCAGAAAAAGCGCCGGCUAACUACGUG
rnacentral:rRNA from 1 species